GCUUCUGGGGGGCUAUCCCUUAGAUCCGGUACUAAUGCUCAUAUUAGUACCGGGUCAAAAACCAACCGAUACUUAUUAGGACCAAUGCUCAAUUUUCCAGCAGUGAUCGAUUUCUUAGGUAAUUAGCCUGUGUUGACUUAUUUGGAUUCUUAACCUCUUAACCUGUUCUGACUUGCAACACUUGUAAAUGGUAAAGGUUAUGCUCCUCCCUCCGUCCACGUUUAAUAACAAGAAUUCAG
rnacentral:lncRNA from 1 species